AGUGAACGCUGGCGGUAGGCCUAACACAUGCAAGUCGAACGGCAGCACAGUAAGAGCUUGCUCUUACGGGUGGCGAGUGGCGGACGGGUGAGGAAUACAUCGGAAUCUACUUUUUCGUGGGGGAUAACGUAGGGAAACUUACGCUAAUACCGCAUACGACCUACGGGUGAAAGCAGGGGAUCUUCGGACCUUGCGCGAUUGAAUGAGCCGAUGUCGGAUUAGCUAGUUGGCGGGGUAAAGGCCCACCAAGGCGACGAUCCGUAGCUGGUCUGAGAGGAUGAUCAGCAACACUGGAACUGAGACACGGUCCAGACUCCUACGGGAGGCAGCAGUGGGGAAUAUUGGACAAUGGGCGCAAGCCUGAUCCAGCCAUACCGCGUGGGUGAAGAAGGCCUGCGGGUUGUAAAGCCCUUUUGUUGGGAAAGAAAAGCAGCAGGUUAAUACCCCGCUGUUCGGACGGGACCCAAAGAAUAAGCACCGGCGAACUUCGG
rnacentral:rRNA from 1 species